CGUCGGAAGCGUCUCGAAGAGACCUAUCGAACGGUCCCGGCCCCGCGCGGAUCGGACUCGGGGUUCCGGAGUUACGGGCGUUUUUCCGCGGAACCGUUCAAAAAUUCAUAACUCCGCCCCCCGGGGGGCCACGACCCUGGGGCCGGUCUCGUUGGAAGCGUCUCGCCGAGCUCUAGGCGCGUUUCAAAUUUCGUGCGGAUCCGACGCGGGGUUCCCGAGUUAUUCGCGUUCAAAGGCCCGAAACGGCCCCCCGACGACGAAAGUGGAUUUCUGGGCCGGGGAAGCGUCGUAGACCCCCGUUGACAUAAUGAGAUUGCGCGUGGGGUCAGCGGGCAGGCGGCCGGGCGCACCCCCGCGUGGGUCCGGGCCCCGGGGGGACCGACCCGGGAGGACGUACCCAUCGGCCGCCCGCCCGGAGAAGGCGGCUUGGCACCGUGCGUGGGUUAUUUUUCUAAGUAUGAAAAACGAGUUGCAGGUGACUUCCUCCAGGCGGCGCGCGCCGCCGGCCCGACCCGAGCGAGGUGCCCCGUCGGCGGGCGCCGUCGGAUCGAGCCCCGGUCUGGAACUCGAGUCUAGCGCAGGUCCCAACAUUUCAGGCCAUCGGGGUACUGGGGAGAGACCGAGCGACCGGCCGGCCGGGGGAGCGCACCCGCCCGGAGGAGGCACCCUAGAGACUGGGGGGAGCGCACCCGCCCGGAGGAGGCACCCUAGAGACUGGGGGGAGCGCACCCGCCCGGAGGAGGCACCCUAGAGACUGGGGGGAGCGCACCCGCCCGGAGGAGGCACCCUAGAGACUGGGGGGAGCGCACCCGCCCGGAGGAGGCACCCUAGAGACGGGGGGUUGCGCACCCGCCCGGAGGAGGCACCCUAGAGACUGGGGGUUGCGCACCCGCCCGGAGGAGGCACCCUAGAGACUGGGGGUUGCGCACCCGCCCGGAGGAGGCACCCUAGAGACUGGGGGUGCGCACCCGCCCGGAGGAGGCACCAGAAACGGGUGCGCACCAACCCGCCCGGAGGAGGCAGCUCGGCGCCGUGUAUUUUUCUAAGUAUGAAAAACGAGUUGAGGGUCACUUCCUCCAGGCCGCCCGCGCCGCCGGCCCGACCCGAGCGAGGUGCCCGGUCGGCGGGCGCCGUCGGAUUGAGCCCCCGGUCUGGAACUCGAGUCCAGCGCAGGACCGGGAAUUUCAGGCCAUCGGGGUACUAGGGAGAACGAGCUCCCACGGACUUUGCCAAAAAACGGGCCUCUUCCACUAGAGACGGGGGGGUGCGCACCCGCCCGGAGGAGGUACCGAUCGGACGGAAAAAGGAGUUGCGCGUCAUAUCCUCCAGGGCGUCCGAGGUGGGUGGCCCGGCCCUGGGGACCGAGGUGGGUGGCCCGGCCCUGGGGACCGAGGUGGGUGGCCCGGCCCUGGGGACCGAGGUGGGAAAGGAGGCCGGAGACGAUGCGCCGUCCUGGGCAUCGUAGAAGGAGUCGGAGGGCAUAUACCAAACUGUACGGUGGUGGUUCUGGGAGCAUGGGGAACUCCCAGAAGCCAGGCCGGAGACGAUGCGCCGUCCUGGGCAUCGUGGAAGGAACGUAGGGCAUAUACCAAACUGUAUGGUGGAGGAUGGGCUCACCUCCAGGGACGAGGCCGGAGACGAUGCGCCGUCCUGGGCAUCGUAGAAGGAGCGUAGGGCAUAUACCAAACUGUAUGGUUCUGGGAGCUUGGGGAACUCCCAGAAGCCAGGCCGGAGACGAUGCGCCGUCCUGGGCAUCGUGGAAGGAACGGAGGGCGUAUACCAAACUGAACGGUGGUGGUGUGCGACACUAGAAACGGGUGAGCAGCAACCCGCCCGGAGGUGCGCAAAAAGUCGUUCCUCGAAAAAUUUUCUAAGUCCCAAAACGGAGUUGCAGGUGUAAAGAUCCAGGGGUUAUGUGAUGCUUCUCCUAUCCGACCGAGAUGGCCUGUCCCCGGGUGGCGUCGGAUUGAGCCGCCGUCUGGAACUCGAGUCUAGCGCAGAAGCGUCGAAACGAGGCCAUCGCGGUACUGGGGAGAACGAGCUCUCUCGGACUUUGUCAAAAAAACGAGAAUCUGGUCGAAAAUUGCACUAAGUCUUUUGGUGUGAGAGAGACGGGUGAGAAGGCACACCCGCCCGGAGGCAGGCAGGCAGGCAGGACGAGCUCCCUCCCCGACCAGAGGCGAUGCGCCGUCCCGGGCAUCGCGCGCGGUGCGCUUUGGUGACUGAAGCGAAGGCCGGUCCCCCCGCGGCGUGGGGUCCUCGGCCGGAGUCCCGGUUCCCUGUGUGCGGGCUCAGGGGGUCGGGCCCCGGCGUGUGGGGUCCCCGCCCGGAGGUCCGGUCCUCCGAUGCGGCAAAGGCAAAGGGGUUGAGGCCGGAGACGAUGCGCCGUCCUGGGCAUCGUGGAAGGAAUCGGAGGGCGUAUACCAAACUGUAUGGUGGUGGUGGUGGAGCGAAACUAGAGACGGGUGAUGGGGCACACCCGCCCGGAGGAUGGGUUCACCUCCAGGGACGAGGCCGGAGACGAUGCGCCGUCCUGGGCAUCGUAGAAGGAGUCGGAGGGCAUAUACCAAACUGUAUGGUGGUGGUGGUGGAGCGAAACUAGAAACGGGUGAUGGGGCACACCCGCCCGGAGGCAGGCAGGACGAGCUCCCUCCCCGACCAGAGGCGGUGCGCUUUGGUGACUGAAGCGAAGGCCGGUCCCCCCCGCGGCGUGGGGUCCUCGGCCGGAGUCCCGGUUCCCUGUGUGCGGGCUCAGGGGGUCGGGCCCCGGCGUGUGGGGUCCCCGCCCGGAGGUCCGGUCCUCCGGUGCGGCAAAGGCGUGAGUUGAGAAAACCCAAGGCCCUCCACCCCUCCCCGGGGUGCGGGCGGAUCGAUGGAUCGCUCGGGCUCCCGGAGGACCGCGCCCGUCCUCCGCGGGGUAUCUGGAAGGCCGGGGCGUUUCUGCUGGCAGAUGGGAAAGGGCACGCGCCAGGGGUAGGCAUCUGCCCGGUCUCUGUGGGCACACGGCACCUCCCCACCUCGCGUGCGAGCCCGGGGCCGCUCCGGCGUGCCUCGGGUUCCGAAAAUGUCGUAACACAAAAAAACCAAAGAA